rnacentral:lncRNA from 1 species
AAAAAUUUGUUAACGAAUCAACAAGAAGUGGGACAUGCAGCGGUAGAUAGUGCUAAAAGAAUUAUGAACACCGGUUCUUGUGAUUACAUGUCUCAUUUCUUGUUGAUUCGUUAAUAUAUUUUUGUGUUCCUAUAUUGUAAUUUACCUAAUGUCAAGCUACGUUAUUUAGGAAAAUUUAAGCCCCGUAAACAGUUCCGACUUCCACCUCAACAUUCAUUCACCAAAAAUGUUCUUCGUGUGCAAAAUCAAAAUAAAUAAAUAAAUGAAAGUUCACGUAUUUGGUGACAUGAUUUUAAGUUUAUGUGCAAAACAAGAAAUGUAUGAAAAUUCGUAUUUAGCCACUAUCACUCAUUGUUUUUAUAUUCUAUUGUUUUAAUUCUCUCUGUAACCUGUGAAUGGCCCUUCUCUCUCAAGGUAUCCAACAAGUUCUAUUUCACCUUCACCGUGAACUCGGACGCGCUGAAAAACGGUCGUAAGAUUCGGAAUGUUGUACCCGCGACAGAGGAGGAAGCGCGACGAGUUAUUGAGCGAAUGGAAGCGGAGAGGUCUUAUUAGUUGUGGCUUUGAGUUUUAGCAGCCUUUUUUCAUUGCAAUAUAUAUGUGUUAAAAACUCACUAAAUACUAAUUUGUGUAGAGAUAGCUGGAUUUUAUGGUCUUCUGUUUAUCAAUCAAACAAGAUUGAAGCAGUGAACUACUGAUGUUUGGAAUUGGGAAGAUGCCUUUAGGCUCUUCAUAUUUGAAGCCGCUGCAGAUUUCUCUUCGUUGCUUCAACCAACAAAAGAGGUUGCAGAUUCGAAUCAUCGAUUACCGUAGAAAUGAAGAGCCAUUAUUAAUCCUCUUUUAAUUGAAAAAAAAAUACAACAAAAAAAGACAUGAGAUUAGAUUGGUCAUCGACUCAAUCAUGAAUCGGUUUAUAUUCCUCCUCUCAAAAUAAAGAUAAAGAAAAAAGAAUCGGUUUAUAUUCCCAUUUUUCAGUUUUAUUUAAUUUAAUAUAUUACUUAUUUAUUUUUAUUUUUUAAAAUAAGUUUCUAGUCUAUUUCUGUGCAUAUGAAAUUUCUUCUAUGUAGUGCAUGAAAAAUCACGACAAUUGAAAUAAAUAAUGACGAAAUUUUCAUUCCAAGUCAACAAAAAAACAAAGCCCCUUUUUUUAAUGGAAACUUUUUGUAAUCGUGGUUUUUUUGCUUCAUUCUCGAGUAUGAAAAUUUUCAAAUUGAAAGUCUACUUGUUACAAAUUAAUUUAAAAAUUGAACAAGUCUACUUUUACAAAUUGAUUUUCAAAGUAUUUUCAUUUUGCAUUUAUUUAAAUAACAGGACUCAACGUACAAACUGUCAAGAUAUGAUAUAUUUUCUAUCACACAUCAUUAAUUCGUUGUGAAAUAGGAGUACGAUUUAUUCAAAAUAAUUUUUGGUAUUUCAUGUAUUCGCCGUAAAAGAUGAUGAAUUUGAAAACAUAGAAUUUCAUGUCAUAAGAUUCGAACAAACUAAUUAACUCACCUAGGUGUCCACUAUCUAGAGCCACGAAUGGUUCAUAAUUUAUAUUUUAAAAUAUAUUUUUAUUUUAUUUUAUCCCUAUUUAACUUGUCAUCAGUUAUUUAUGAUUUUAUAAUUCCUUUCCCCUUUUCAAUUAUUUUUACUAAGCACAGAUCCCAAAAGACAAAGUUGCUCAUAUUUAUUGGAACUUUUAGGUGAUUUAAUCAACACAGUUGUAAUCUAGUGUAUAUGUAUAUAUUAAAGAACAAUUUUAGUGAUGGUUAUUAAAAUUAAUUUAUAGUAGAUAUUUGACCGAGUUUUUUUUUUUUUGUAAGAGCAAUUUUAGUGGUGGUUGUUAAAUUAAUUUAUAAAUUUUUGACCAAGUUUAUAUAAUUUUCUUGAUUGGGAUUCAAGAGCACGUUUUUCUUUUUCAUUAAUUUUUUUGAGAGCCCUAUAUAUUGUACAAUUGAAACUCUUCUUUCUCACUUGUUUACCUUUCUUCAGUUCAGAUCUAAUCUCGCAGUCGCCGCCCAACACUCCCUUUCUUCACAUUAAAAUCUCACCGUCGAUUAAGGAUGAUGAGCAGAAGAGCUACUGUUUCUGCAAUCGAUCUCAUUCAUGGCAGAGGAUUUCUCAAUCGAUGGUCGCAUAAAUCGGGUAUUCUCUCUCCUGUAUUCUCUCUCUUCUCUUCCAAGGCUUUUCAACCUAAGCAGCCCAGAAUCGAUUUCAGCUGUGUUAAAGAAUUAAAUGAUGCUAUUGAAUUGUUUCAAAAAAUGAAGUGUAUGCGGCUGGAGGCUCCUGUUCUCGCGUAUAAUAAACUUAUGAGUAUUAGUGUAAAGAUUGAGCAGUACUCUUUUGCCCUUGAUGUGUUCGAUGAAAUGCUUAGGAUGGGUGUCCCAGUUAAUGUUUACACAAUGACUAUUGCUGUCAACUGUUGUUGUCUUUUGAAAGAUAUAAACUCUGGUGUUGCUAUAAUGGGAUUCUUUUUUAAGAGUGGUUACGAACCAAAUGUCGUGACUAUCGGCACACUCAUUAAAGGGUUGUUCUUGGUUGAGAAAGAGGCCGAAGCCGUGAAAUUGUUUGAAAAGGUUCUGGAUUUAAAACUUUGUGUGCCUAAUGAAGUAAUGAUUCUGCACGUGAUAGAUGGGCUGUGCAAAUCUGGGCAGGUCAUUGCAGCACAUGACUGGCUUCAUCGAUUAGAAAGUAAUGGCUGCAGAGCCAAUGUUUGGAGUUAUAAUGCGUUAAUUGACGGAUUCUGCAAAGAAGGAAAGAUGGAAGAAGCUGGGAAGAUAUUGGAAACCAUGACACAACAAAAUAUUUGUCCAGACGUCGUCACUUAUUCUUCGCUUAUUGAUGGGUUUUGUUUAAGGGGUGAAAUCGAGAGAGGAAAGCAACUACUCGAUCUCAUGGCAGAGAGGGGCCUUAAACCCGAUGUUGUUACCUAUAAUAGCUUAAUUGACGGAUAUUGCAAGGUGGGGACCAUCGAUGAAGCUUUGCAUCUUUUUCUUGAAAUUCCGAGUAAAGGUUUGAAGCAUGAUGCACUUACUUAUAGUACCAUGAUACAUGGAUUAUUCAAAAAAGGUAGAUUUGUUGAGGGCUGGAAGCUUUUUGAGGAUAUGGAAGCUCAACAAGUACAUCCUCACUUACAUAUUUAUAAUAUAUUAUUGGAUGGGCUAUGUAGGAAUGGAGAGAUUGAGGAAGCUUUUUCAUUAUUACGCAUGAUUGAAGUGAAAGGAUUUACUCCUGACAUAGUCUCGUAUGGCUCGCUUAUUGAUGGAUUAUGCAAAAAUGGCAAACGAGAUGUUGCAAGAGAUCUUUUGAGGGAACUUUCUUCUAAAGGAUUGCAGCCUAAUGUUUGGAUAUACAAUAUGAUCAUUCAUUCACUUUGUCAAGAAGGAUCUAUGGAGGAGGCAGAACUUUUGCUUGUAGAGAUGAAGAACCGUGGCUGUGGACCUGAUCGUGUGACAUACAACAUUAUCAUCCGAAGUUUGCUAAAGCAAAAUGAGCUUCACAUGGCAACAUCAUUCAUGGAGGAAAUGCGCCAAAAGGGAUUCUCAGCAGAUUCUGCAACUUCUUCAGUGCCAACUGAUCGAGCGGAAGAACAAAGUGGAGAUGGUUUUUUCCUCAAAUUGAUGAAGAACCUUGCUCCCAAGAAAAUUGUAUCGUAGUCCUUUCUUCUUGAUUAUAUACGAGGUUAGUGAUAUGGACACUCAUAUAAUAUCAUCUUUUCGUCAAUUUUGUGGGUAAUAACUAAUAAUGAUACUGUUUUUUUUAGGUGUGCAGUUUUGGGCCUGUGCUAAAUUUAGUUUUGGUCUGUUAUAAUUUAAAGUUUCUAAUUGAUUAAAUGAGAGAAAGCUAUGGAAGUGAACAUAUUCAGUUAUUGUACCUAUUUCAUGUUGAGGCCUCCAAGAAAUGAACGUUUCAAGAGAUUUUAAUCUUAAAGUUGUAUUGAAACUACUGAUUUUUCUUUGUGAUAUGUCAUGCUGUGUUUGUUCUUCAAUAGCAUACAUCGUUGUGUGAUGUGUUUCUACUGCAGGGUGAGGAUUCGUAUAGCCAUAGAGCCAGAGGUUUUCGUCUCGGAGUUGCAAGCAGCAAUGGUGCCGACGUGCAGUGGAGUUCGAUUCUCUAUAUGCUUGUUGCCCCAAGUUGUGUUUAGAUGAGCUCAACAUUUCAUUGAUGAUAUUUCUAUGUUUGGUAACCUGUUAGAAUUGAACUAUGUUAGGACAUAUGUAGUUUGUAUUUCUAAGAUUUGAACAUUUUGUUGAUGGAGUAACAAUCUUGUGUUUAAAUUAUUUGUAUUACAAUUACACAAGUUUGUUUGUUUUUUUUUUUGGUUUAUGACCAGUUUAUUUUAAAUAGCAUUCCUGUUUUAAAUAACUUUUACAGAUGAAAACUUCCCAUAGCAGUUAGGAAAAUAGGAAGGGUGUAUUAGUUUAGUUGUAUCUAUAAUAUAUUUAAAAGGCAACUUCAAUUUGAAAUAAAUUUUAAAUUGAUUUCAAAUUAUUAAUGGCAAUAUUGAAAUUAUCGUUAUGCAAGUGUUGAAUAAAAAUUAAAUAAUCUAUUAUAUAAGCUCUUACCACGAUCUUCAAUUCAAAAUGCAUAUCACAUAUAUAUUUUUAUGAACCGAAUAAUAUUUCCAGCGAAUGAACAUUGAGGUGGAAACUGUCAACGGAGCUUAAAACGAAAGUCUUCCUAAAUGACCUAGUUGGACAUUAGGUAGACUGCAGGAACACAAAAAAUUGUUAACGAAUCAACAAGAAGUGGGACAUGCAGUGGUAGAUAGUGCUAAAAGAAUUAUGAACACUAAUUUUUGUGAUUACAUGUCUCAUUUUUUUGUUGAUUCAUUAAUAUAUUUUUGUGUUCCUAUAUUGUAAUUUACCUAAUGUCAAGCUACGUUAUUUAGGAAGAUUUAAGCCCCAUAAACAGUUCCGACUUCCACCUCAACAUUCAUUCACCGAAAAUGUUCUUCGUGUGCAAAAUCAAAAUAAAUAAAUAAAUGAAAGUUCACG